UACGAAGGGUGCAAGCGUUACUCGGAAUUACUGGGCGUAAAGCGUGCGUAGGUGGUUUGUUAAGUCUGAUGUGAAAGCCCUGGGCUCAACCUGGGAAUUGCAUUGGAUACUGGCAGGCUAGAGUGCGGUAGAGGAUGGCGGAAUUCCCGGUGUAGCAGUGAAAUGCAUAGAGAUCGGGAGGAACAUCUGUGGCGAAGGCGGCCAUCUGGACCAGCACUGACACUGAGGCACGAAAGCGUGGGGAGCAAACAGG
rnacentral:rRNA from 1 species